UGUGGUAAGAUUAAUUUGAAGUUUCUGUACGAGUUGGAAAGAAAGGGGAAAAGAGCAUUGAUUACUGGUGUGUAAAAGAAGGUUUACUUAGUAGCCAUUAUUAAGUGUCCUGUUUGUAGAAUGGAAAUGCGUAUUAUCGAACGUCGGACGAUAACAGCGCUAAGGAGGAUAUUUUUGACUCUUAUUUUUGUGAAUUUAUGUGGCAACGAAAUUAUACAAAUUCUAGUUCAGAUAAUUUUAGGAAGUUUUUGGAUGCUGUUAAGGAAUUUUGUUUGUCUGAAGACGUGUUAAUUCGUAAAUAAGGUCUCGAGAUUUCUCAAGACCAACAUUUUGCCAGAGAUAAUUAUGAACUCCCUCCACAGCCACCACCAGACCAAGACAGUCAGUAAUAAAGAUUCAUUUUUCACAUUAAACAUUGUAUAACAUCUAUUAUUAAAUAAUAAAGAAUCUUAUUUUUUUGUA